GUGAACGCUGGCGGUAGGCCUAACACAUGCAAGUCGAACGGCAGCACAGUAAGAGCUUGCUCUUACGGGUGGCGAGUGGCGGACGGGUGAGGAAUACAUCGGAAUCUACUUUUUCGUGGGGGAUAACGUAGGGAAACUUACGCUAAUACCGCAUACGACCUACGGGUGAAAGCAGGGGAUCUUCGGACCUUGCGCGAUUGAAUGAGCCGAUGUCGGAUUAGCUAGUUGGCGGGGUAAAGGCCCACCAAGGCGACGAUCCGUAGCUGGUCUGAGAGGAUGAUCAGCCACACUGGAACUGAGACACGGUCCAGACUCCUACGGGAGGCGGCAGUGGGGAAUAUUGGACAAUGGGCGCAAGCCUGAUCCAGCCAUACCGCGUGGGUGAAGAAGGCCUUCGGGUUGUAAAGCCCUUUUGUUGGGAUAGAAAAGCAGCAGGUUAAUACCCCGCUGUUCUGACGGUACCCAAAGAAUAAGCACCGGCUAACUUCGUG
rnacentral:rRNA from 1 species